AUUGAACGCUGGCGGCAGGCUUAACACAUGCAAGUCGAGCGGGGAAAGGUAGCUUGCUACCUGACCUAGCGGCGGACGGGUGAGUAAUGCUUAGGAAUCUGCCUAUUAGUGGGGGACAACAUCUCGAAAGGGAUGCUAAUACCGCAUACGUCCUACGGGAGAAAGCAGGGGACCUUCGGGCCUUGCGCUAAUAGAUGAGCCUAAGUCGGAUUAGCUAGUUGGGGGGGUAAAGGCCUACCAAGGAGACGAUCUGUAGCGGGUCUGAGAGGAUGAUCCGCCACACUGGGACUGAGACACGGCCCAGACUCCUACGGGAGGCAGCAGUGGGGAAUAUUGGACAAUGGGGGGAACCCUGAUCCAGCCAUGCCGCGUGUGUGAAGAAGGCCUUUUGGUUGUAAAGCACUUUAAGCGAGGAGGAGGCUACCGAGAUUAAUACUCUUGGAUAGUGGACGUUACUCGCAGAAUAAGCACCGGCUAACUCUGUGCCAGCAGCCGCCGUAACAC
rnacentral:rRNA from 1 species